rnacentral:rRNA from 1 species
CCUUCGGGGUGUAAAGCUCUUUCGGCAGGGAAGAUAGUGACGGUACCUGCAGAAGCAGCUGCGGCUAACUACGUGCCAGCAGCCGCGGUAAUACGUAGGCAGCAAGCGUUGUUCGGAGUUACUGGGCGUAAAGGGUGUGUAGGCGGUUCUUUAAGUUUGGUGUGAAAUCUCCCUGCUUAACCGGGAGGGUGCGCCGAAUACUGAGGGACUAGAGUACGGGAGAGGAAAGUGGAAUUCCUGGUGUAGCGGUGAAAUGCGUAGAUAUCAGGAGGAACACCGGUGGUGUAGACGGCUUUCUGGACCGUAACUGACGCUGAGACACGAAAGCGUGGGUAGCAAACAGGAUUAGAUACCCUGGUAGUCCACGCCCUAAACGAUGCAUAUUUGGUGUGGGCAGUUCAUUCUGUCCGUGCCGGAGCUAACGCGUUAAAUAUGCCGCCUGGGGAGUACAGUCGCAAGGCUGAAACUCAAAGGAAUUGACGG